rnacentral:rRNA from 1 species
CCUACGGGUGGCAGCAGUAGGGAAUAUUGCUCAAUGGGGGAAACCCUGAAGCAGCAACGCCGCGUGGAGGAUGAAGGUUUUAGGAUUGUUAACUCCUUUUGUUAGAGAAGAUUAUGACUGUAUCUAACGAAUAAGCACCGUCUAACUCCGUGCCAGCAGCCGCGGUAAUACGGAGGGUGCAAGCGUUACUCGGAAUCACUGGGCGUAAAGAGUGCGUAGGCGGGGUAAUAAGUCAGAUGUGAAAUCCUGUAGCUUAACUACACAACUGCAGUUGAAACUGUUACUCUGGAGUGUGGGAGAGGUAGGUGGAAUUCUUGGUGUAGGGGUAAAAUGCGUAGAGAUCAAGAGGAAGACUCAGUGCGAAGGCGGCCUGCUGGAACAUUACUGACGCUGAUGCACGAAGGCGUGGGGAGCAAACAGGAUGUGAUACCCCAGUAGUC